rnacentral:rRNA from 1 species
AGAUUGAACAUAAGAGUUUGAUCCUGGCUCAGAUUGAACGCUGGCGGCAUGCUUUACACAUGCAAGUCGGACGGCAGCACAGGGAAGCUUGCUUCUCGGGUGGCGAGUGGCGAACGGGUGAGUAACAUAUCGGAACGUACCGGGUAGCGGGGGAUAACUGAUCGAAAGAUCAGCUAAUACCGCAUACGUCUUGAGAGGGAAAGCAGGGGACCUUCGGGCCUUGCGCUAUCCGAGCGGCCGAUAUCUGAUUAGCUGGUUGGCGGGGUAAAGGCCCACCAAGGCGACGAUCAGUAGCGGGUCUGAGAGGAUGAUCCGCCACACUGGGACUGAGACACGGCCCAGACUCCUACGGGAGGCAGCAGUGGGGAAUUUUGGACAAUGGGCGCAAGCCUGAUCCAGCCAUGCCGCGUGUCUGAAGAAGGCCUCGGGUUGUAAAGGACUUUUGUCAGGGAAGAAAAGGCCGUUGCCAAUAUCGGCGGCCGAUGACGGUACCUGAAGAAUAAGCACCGGCUAACUACGUGCCAGCAGCCGCGGUAAUACGUAGGGUGCGAGCGUUAAUCGGAAUUACUGGGCGUAAAGCGGGCGCAGACGGUUACUUAAGCAGGAUGUGAAAUCCCCGGGCUCAACCCGGGAACUGCGUUCUGAACUGGGUGACUCGAGUGUGUCAGAGGGAGGUGGAAUUCCACGUGUAGCAGUGAAAUGCGUAGAGAUGUGGAGGAAUACCGAUGGCGAAGGCAGCCUCCUGGGAUAACACUGACGUUCAUGUCCGAAAGCGUGGGUAGCAAACAGGAUUAGAUACCCUGGUAGUCCACGCCCUAAACGAUGUCAAUUAGCUGUUGGGCAACUUGAUUGCUUGGUAGCGUAGCUAACGCGUGAAAUUGACCGCCUGGGGAGUACGGUCGCAAGAUUAAAACUCAAAGGAAUUGACGGGGACCCGCACAAGCGGUGGAUGAUGUGGAUUAAUUCGAUGCAACGCGAAGAACCUUACCUGGUUUUGACAUGUGCGGAAUCCUCCGGAGACGGAGGAGUGCCUUCGGGAGCCGUAACACAGGUGCUGCAUGGCUGUCGUCAGCUCGUGUCGUGAGAUGUUGGGUUAAGUCCCGCAACGAGCGCAACCCUUGUCAUUAGUUGCCAUCAUUCGGUUGGGCACUCUAAUGAGACUGCCGGUGACAAGCCGGAGGAAGGUGGGGAUGACGUCAAGUCCUCAUGGCCCUUAUGACCAGGGCUUCACACGUCAUACAAUGGUCGGUACAGAGGGUAGCCAAGCCGCGAGGCGGAGCCAAUCUCACAAAACCGAUCGUAGUCCGGAUUGCACUCUGCAACUCGAGUGCAUGAAGUCGGAAUCGCUAGUAAUCGCAGGUCAGCAUACUGCGGUGAAUACGUUCCCGGGUCUUGUACACACCGCCCGUCACACCAUGGGAGUGGGGGAUACCAGAAGUAGGUAGGGUAACCGCAAGGAGUCCGCUUACCACGGUAUGCUUCAUGACUGGGGUGAAGUCGUAACAAGGUAGCCGUAGGGGAACCUGCGGCUGGAUCACCUCCUUUCUAGAG